rnacentral:rRNA from 1 species
UACGGGAGGCAGCAGUGAGGAAUAUUGGUCAAUGGGCGCGAGCCUGAACCAGCCAAGUAGCGUGAAGGAUGACUGCCCUAUGGGUUGUAAACUUCUUUUAUAGGGGAAUAACCGGAGGCACGUGUGCCUCCCUGCAUGUACCCUAUGAAUAAGCAUCGGCUAAUUCCGUGCCAGCAGCCGCGGUAAU